rnacentral:misc_RNA from 1 species
GAUGAAGAACGUAGCGAAAUGCGAUACGUAAUGUGAAUUGCAGAAUUCAGUGAAUCAUCGAAUCUUUGAACGCAUAUUGCGCUCUUUGGUAUUCCGAAGAGCAUGCUUGUUUGAGUAUCAGUAAACACCUCAACCUCUUCUUGAUUUUUCAAAAGGAGGGUGGACUUGAGCUAUCCCAACAACCUUUACCGGUCGGCGGGCGGCUUGAAAUGCAGGUGCAGCUGGACUUUUAUCUGAGCUAAAAGCAUAUCUAUUUAGUCCUCGUCAAACAGGAUUAUUACUUUUGCUGCAGCUAACAUAAAGGAUAAUUGUCCUCUUUGCUAACUGAUGCAGGAUUUUACGACACUUUAUGUGUUGUUCAACUCGAUCUCAAAUCAAGUAAGACUACCCGCUGAACUUAAGCAUAUCAAUAAGCGGAGGA